ensembl:lncRNA
CUUUGAUCAAGUGACCUUUGCAUCUUGAUUUACUAAUAAGUAAAACGGGGUCUGUAGUGUUACCUACCUCUUAGAGUUAGGAUAAGGAUUAAACAGGAAAAGAAACACUGGCAAUUAGGAAUCCCUUCAGAUUUCCCUGUCUCCUUUCCAUCCUCUUUCUUAAUAUUGUAAUUAUCAUUAAUAGUAUAAUUACCAUUAGUGAGUUUCAAAAUUUUGUUCCGGUAUCUCCUCCUUUGGGAAGUUGUUACCGGCAAGGACUGCCGACAGUGAUUUUGCUUUUAAGCCCUAAGAAAUGUAAGUCUACUUGAAAAGGCAGGUAAGAGAAUGAAUCAUUCUUAUAAUACUCGAAAACUGCUAGGGUAAGGUAAGCCAUGGAGAAGGCAAUGGCACCCCACUCCAGUACUCUUGCCUGGAGAAUCCCAUGGACGGAGGAGCCUGGUAGGCUGCAGUCCAUGGGGUCUCGAAGAGUCGGAUACGACUGAAUGACUUCACUUUCACUUUUCACUUUCAUGCAUUGGAGAAGGAAAUGGCAACCCACUCCAGUGUUCUUGCCUGGAGAAUCCCAGAGACGGGGGAGCCCGGUGGGCUGCGGUCUCUGGGGUCGCACAGAGUCGGACACGACUGAAGCGACUUAGCAGCAGCAGCAGCAGCAGCGAUCAAGAAAACUAAAGGCACUCUGCAGAAAAGGCUCUCAGGAUAUCUCACAAACAGGAUCUUAUGAAAACCAAAUAAACUGGAACAGAAGAAAGAGGCACAGAUAUAAGAGGUUCUAAAACCUUCUGAAGUUUUCUUGAAGUCCCAGGGUUUACUUUGAUAUCCAUAACAUAACAUAAGCCAAGAAAUACAGCUUUGUGACCACUGCCUCAUUGUUAUUUCACAACACUAGGAAGCAUAAUCUAUGUGUUGAUAAUUUAUCUUUGAAGUAUAAAUUAUUCAGUAUUUUCAGGGUGAAAGUCAUAUGGUUUAGAGUCACAAGAAAAUUGCAUCAGCGUCCUAUCUUUAUAAUGAAUGACUAGGUUUAUUAUUCCAUUGACCUAUGGAGACAUGUUAGAGAAUUAAUGUACUGUACUGUAUGUGUUAUAUACGAGGCUUGACACAUAUAAAUAUUCUGAAAAAUUACUCAUUUAGUUGGCUGGAUCAUUUAACAGAUUUAGCAGAAAUAAUAAU